ensembl:lncRNA
CGAUGCGGGAAGUGCGGACGCCGUAGAGGCCUGAAGCGGAGGUCGCAGGCAGGGUCCCCGGCCGCGGCCAUGGCGGAGAGGCCUGAGGACCUAAACCUCCCAGCGCCGUCAUCACCGGAAUCAUCCAGGAGGCGCUCCGGGACGGUGUCAGCAUCUCCACCUCCCGCGCCGCCAGCGUCUCUGUGCUCAGUGCCACCUCCUGUGCCAACAGCUUCGCGAUGAGAGGGAAAGUCAAGACACUGCCAUGGAGGAGACGGAGUUUCAGCGGUUCGUUACCCCGUUAAAAGAAGCUCUGGAAGGUUACAGGAGGGAGCAGAAAGGCAAGAAGGAAGCUUCAGAGCAAAAGAAGGACAAAGACCAGACAAAACUGAUUUGGAAGAGCAGGACAAGCGCAGGGAUGAGGACAACGAUAAAGAUGAGGAGCGGCUGAAGGAAGGAGAACAGAGUGACGAGAGAAAGUGGACGACUGAAGAGGAUGGCGAGGCGCCCCUUGGAAGGAACCACGCUGAACCCUGGUACACGUUUGUGUGAGGCUUCUUGCUGCUGGGCAGAGGAGUCUUAGACAGAAGAGCCUGAGAAGAUCGAAAUAAAAACUGAAUUAUCAUCAGGAUUAUCAUCAAAGCCAAUGCUUCCCAGACGCAGAGCAUCUGAGUAGCAGAAUCCUGUUUUGUUUAAUCAGUCUCAAGGUUAUAACUUUUCGGCAAGAGGGAUUCUGAAUGGCUAGUUUAAUUGGUCAAUUUCAUCUCUUUUGUUUACAUACAGGAAGCUGCCAUGUUGGGAGCUCCGUGUGGACGCCCACGGGAAGAAGCGGAGGCCUUCCGUCCAGCAGCCCGUGAGAAACUGAGGCCUGCCUGCGGCCACACACCUGAGCAGAAAGCAGAUCGAUCCUCCCCCAGCGGAGCCAGCAGGAAGCUGCCAUGUUGGGAGCUCCCUGUGGACGCCCACGGGAAGAAGCGGAGGCCUUCCAUCCAGCAGCCCAUGAGGAACUGAGGCCUGCCCGCAGCCACACACCUGAGCGGAAAGCAGAUCAAUCCUCCCCCAGCUGAGCCAGCAGGAAGCUGCCAUGUUGGGAGCUCCCUGUGGACGCCCACGGGAAGAAGCAGAGGCCUUCGGUCCAGCAGCCCGUGAGGAACUGAGGCCUGCCUGCGACCACACACCUGAGCGGAAAGCAGAUCGAUCCUCCCCCAGCGGAGCCAGCAGCCUUUGCUCUCCCCCUCAUGCCCCGGCAGCAACGGAUGGACAUGAAUGGAGUUGUUGGGAGCCCUGGAUAAUGGGAUGCCCAGACGCUUUCUGAACAGAAAAUUGCCACCAGGCCACACACAGGCACGAGGAAAGGGGCUAGUUAUAAGAGCUAGACUGAUGGCUUACCAUCCAGA